AGCUUUGCGCAGUGGUAGUAUCGUAGCCAAUGAGGUUUAUCCGAGGCACGAUUAUUGCUAUUUGAAAGAAGUCCCUGGCAUAAUGAAAUCCUGAUCUAACAAUCCUACGUAUGAAAUCAACCUCAGAAAAUUAAGUGUACUUCAUGCUUAGAAAGGAUUUUUUUCAAGACUUUCAAUU
ensembl:snRNA U4 U4 spliceosomal RNA